UACGUAGGUGGCAAGCGUUGUCCGGAUUUACUGGGCGUAAAGAGCGCGCAGGCGGUCGUUCAAGUCGCGUGUGAAAGCCCCCGGCUCAACUGGGGAGGGUCACGCGAUACUGAUCGGCUCGGAGGCAGGAGAGGGUAGUGGAAUUCCUGGUGUAGCGGUGGAAUGCGCAGAUAUCAGGAGGAACACCGAUGGCGAAGGCAGUUCUCUGGGCCGUAACUGACGCUGAGGAGCGAAAGCGUGGGGAGCAAACAGG
rnacentral:rRNA from 1 species